CACGGCGCUGAGUGCCCUGGGGCCGUGGGACAGACCGGGGACUCGCUCGGCUUACCGGUCUUGUCCAGCCGAAUUGAUUCUAUCAUUCGGUGGUGCCCCCCCGGCUGUUUGGGCGGUACACGUAACCCUAACCCUGGUACCGAAAUGGGCCCUUUGCUGACCCCAGGUGACCUCACCCCAGAUCUGUCGUGGGAAAUUGUGAAUGGCCCAUCCCUGGAAGUGUUGCAGGCCAGGCUGGAUGGGGCUCUGAGGAACCCGGGCUAUGGAAGGUGUCCCUGCCCAUGGCAGGGGCUGGGACGAGAUGGUCUUUGAGGUCCCUUUCAACCCGAGUCAUUCUCCUCCUCUCCUGAAGACAGGCACCAACCUGGCACUUUUUCAGCCCCCUAGAAUUGCCCUGGUCAAUCAGGGCUCACUAAGGAGGAAUGCCAGCACACAAGUCUGCAGUCAGCUGUUUCCAACCUCCUGGGCCACAGUUAUCCCUGGAAGACAAGAGCUCCACUGGUCACUAAUGCACUGAAAUGAAUCACAGCCCUGUCAGGUGACCCCCACACAGGGAUCUUCCUGCUUCUUUACAGACACAGAUCAUAAAUGUUCCAUGAACACUUCUGCAUUGUUAUUGACAUUUUAAUCAUGUCCAUCUAGUAAUGGGCCUGUACCAUUCACUUGUAGUUUUCUGGGAUUUAGCCUUGCCAGCUAUGGAUUUCCUUUGAUGUGCUUCACUUCCAAUAACUACUCAGUUUCUCAUUUAUACCAACACUUCCUUAUUUCCUGCUUUCUCCAUUUUGGCUAUUUCUUUUUUUUAAUUUUACUCACACUCUCCAGUCCAUUAAUAAAACAAGAGUUGUCAAUGUUUUUUCUCUCUUGAAGUUGUGGCUCUUUGAUUGCCCAAUGAAUUCUUUAAAAAGAGCUCAUAAUUGUAAUUUUUAGACUUCUACCUAUUUUUUUUCUUCCUGCUUGCACUCCUAUUUUCUGAUGAUUUGGAAAUACAUGUCUUUUAGAGCACCAGGUGUAUGCAAACCUAGGUCACAAACACUGCACCCCAGCCAACCACUGAAUUGCAAUCCAGGGAUCUCUGUUUGGGUUUUUUUACUUCCCUCAUUAUAACAAAGUCCAAAAGAACUUACC